rnacentral:rRNA from 1 species
AUUGAACGCUGGCGGCAGGCCUAACACAUGCAAGUCGAGCGGAGCGGCGGACGGGUGAGUAAUCCCUCGGAAUCUUCCUGGUAGUGGGGGAUAACGUCCGGAAACGGACGCUAAUACCCCAUACUAUCAGCUGCGCCUAGGUCGGAUUAGCUAGUUGGUGAGGUAAUGGCUUACCAGGGCUACGAUCCGUAACUGGUCUGAGAGGAUGAUCAGUCACACUGGAACUGAGACACGGUCCAGAGUCCUACGGGAGGCAGCAGUGGGGAAGAGUGGACAAUGGGCGAAAGCCUGAUCCAGCCAUGCCGCGUGUGUGAAGAAGGUCUUCGGAUUGUAAAGCACUUUAAGUUGGGAGGCGUUACCGACAGAAGAAGCACCGGCUAACUCUGUGCCAGCAGCCGCGGUAAUUC